GUUUUUUACAUACAGUACAGGCGUUUUGCGGAUGAGUCUUCUUAAUCUCUGCGUGUUGAACUUUCAUGGCAGCACUGCGACAGACAAGAGAGAGCGUGCCUCCAGGUCCCUGUCUCUAGUGCACAUAUCUGAUGUUUUCACUUACGUCACAUUCCUUGCAUGCAAAGCGUUAUAUUAUUUGGAGUUUUCCAGAAGAAAAGCACCAAAUGCAUCUACAUGGACACAGAAGAAUUGAUUCAUUAUAAAUAUGGCUCACAAAAAUUGGGAGACUGGUAAGCAGCAUAAAGUGCUAUCUGAAGGUUGUACAACAAUAAAAUUAAGAAAACUUAGACCUAAAAAAUCUAAAAGUAUAAGCUCAGUGAUAGUCCUAGAGUCUCAGCAUCAGGAAGGAGGAAAAGCUGUGUUACUGACAGAAUGAUGGGGUAGGAAGUCCCACAAAGCAGGAAAGCUCCUCUGUCUGAACAGAAGACGAAGGUUCCUUCUCUAGAGAAAAUAUUGAAUUCCUUACACCCCUUUUAAUCUAAUCGAGCCUCACUAGACUGAUUAGGUGAUACCAGCUCAUCUUGGUGAAGGCAGAUCUUCACUGAGACCGCUAAGUGAAAUGCUAAAUACUUCCACAAAACCCACAGAGAUACUACCAGAAAUGUUUGACCGGCUUUCUGAAUUGCCCAUCAAUCCAGUCAAAUAGCACACGGAAUAAACCAUUACGUAGACUUUAGCAUGCAAUGAUAGAUAUUUAAAAUUCCUCAGCAAUUCUAGAAUGUGUUGGUUCUAAAAUUACCUGUCUUUCUAGAUUCUGUCCUCCUUUGUUGUCUUUAUAGGUGCCUUAUAAAAAGAAAGACCUUGGUAAAUAGGAUUUAUACACUGGUUCAGGUGCAGUGUUAUUUGCAGUAAUUUCUGUAACCGUGGGUCUCACGGAUGCCAUGCUCUCUUGGAAUUCUUGCUUUGUCUCCCGUAAGACUUUAUAUACCACAAAUGCUCCUUCUCAAAACGAGUGCAUUUUUCAGCCCAAUCAGGUACAAUCUAGUGAUGCUACUUUCAGUGUGUUUGAAGUUAUAGGGGAGAGGAGAGCAAUCACUACAUGGGUUUCACUCAGUCUCAGCAUUGGUGGGCCUGUCUCUGCGGUGAGCUUCAGAAGUGUCUUUGUAAUGUUUAAGUGUCCUCUGUUUCUCAUAAGUGACACAAAAAUCUGUAGCAGAUGAAUAUGGAAGGAAACUCCUUUCUCCAGAAGGAAAUUCCACUUUAGUUUAUUUUUUUCUGGCAAGUCAGGGAUUUUAUUUAAAAGCAAUUUAUUCUGCCUCAUUCUCCUGGAAGGGCUACAGCAGUAUCUUUCUGAGAUCUUCAUCAGGCUUGAACUUGGUCCAUUCCUAGAGGUAUAACUCACACCUGGGAGAAAGUGUUCAGACUGUGGCCAAUGGUAUUUUUUCAUUCUUAGCCUGCCUCCAGUAAUUCAUAAAAAUUACCAUUUAAAUAUUUCUCCCAGUUAUGGAUUUAACUGACUGUAUUUAAUGGCCUUUGUAGAUUAGUGAAUAGUGAUUUGUCUUGAUCUGAUAGGUUAAAGAUAAGUCACUGAUUUUUACUUGGUUUCAAUUUUCUUGUAGAAAGGUAUCUAUGAUUACCUAAAGAUUAUUAAAUAUUUCAGAAUUAAAUUAUAGUUGCAGAGCUCUGGCUAUAUCCCCCAAAUCACAUUGAAUUGCAUACUUUAAAUGUGUGAGUGCAUGUUACGUGAAUUUUUUCUCAUAAAGUAUUUUUAAAGUACGCUUUCCCAAAACAUGUCCGUGAUAGAAGAUUUGAAAUCUAGUUUAUCAAUGUAUCUGAAACCAAGUAAGGAAUAAACCUAGAUCAUUUCUUCUAUUCAUGAAGAUGGUAACUCACCUUUUAUACUCAAUUUUAUCACAUUCAUUUCAUUUUAUCACACAGUUCUUUGCAUUAGCCUUUUAUUACUGAUAUUUCCUGGAUGUAAUAUUUUCAAUUUUUGAGGAAUUGCACUGCAGUCUUCAUUAGCUAUCUAAUCUGAAGCUGCACUAUUUAUUUAUGUCAGAGCCAAACAUACCUUAUUUGUUUGCUAAAACAGCACAAAGAUGUAAUCUCUGAAUUUCACCUCUCUUUGGACUUACCUUGUGUUCUUUAAUUUUACUUGAUGUACAAUCAGUGUAGAUAAUUCAUCCAAUUGGAGAGCUUCCAAAUCAUAGUAAACAUUCAAGGUCCUUCUAAGGUAUAAAGUUGUGCAGUCUGAAAAAUACUUAUAGAAGCUGUAAGCAGCAAAAUAUAAUUUACCAUAAAUUUUAUUUUGUUCACUGUUAAAGCGAGGGAAGGCCAGGUUGAUUCUUAGUCUCAGCAUCAUGAGCAUUCAUGCUAGAUACAUGCCGUCUUGCGACCAAUUUUCUUUGUGUUUGUUCAUUUCAGAGUGCCACUCAACUCCUUCACACUGCAUUUCCAAUUUAUGUCCAGAAGUCUGACAACCUUUUAUUUAGUUCUCUCUCCUGUAUUCCAUCACCAUUUUCUUUUACAAUAAUUAAGAAAUUCUUAUUUUCAGCUGAGGCCCAUGGAACCAAGACAUGUAUUAUACAUUGAUAAAUUAUGCAAUUUUUCCCAAAGAAAACAGCAAAACUUAUUUGAAAUACUUUCAAAUUUUAUGCAAAACAUUGAGCAAUAUUUUUUUUUUAAAAUGGAGUAGGUAGCAGAAAAAUUUGGGUAUACUGAUUCUGGUCAAAACUAGAUUUUUAAAUUACACACUGCCAUAUUCGACCUUAGGAUAUGACUCAGGUUUAGUAUAAUCUGUUGCACAGUUAGCCAUCACCAAACAAGUUCUCUGGACAGUGUGGUUUAAACAACCUGUAUUGUCAAACUUCUGGUCUAGGUUGUUCGAGAUUAAGGUUCCAGUAAGAGCUGUUUCACUGUGGAAGCUGUUUUCUUCUUAUUUUUAGUUAGAUGAAGAACUACCUCCCUUCUUUUUCUCAUGCUGUGAUCAUUUCUGUAUAAUAGUGCCUCCACAUGACUCCUUUAGCUAAUCGUAUAACAAAGUAUAGUCACAUCUAAGUCUUAAGAUUUAAAAAUGAGAAUUUGAUAGGGACUUCAAUUCAAUACACAGUAUUAGCACCGAGUUUUCACUUAUAUGAACUGAAAUGUUUACUGAUUGAAUUAAUAGGAGACCAUCUUAAUAUUUUUAUUCUUGAAAAUAGUUACCAAUAAAAAUUUUUAGUCUGCUGGAAUAUUUUACUUAACAUACCUCCUUUAAUGAUGGUUGCUAAAUGGUCUAUAACCUGUGCUCUGACUAACUUAAUGUGCAGUUCCACAGCUAGGUUAUUAACCGUUAGCAUUUCUGAAUGAUUUCCUAAGGAUAUUUCAGGUGAUGAACCUGAAAACAGUCCAACGUGGGGUCACCUUUCAUUUCCCUCUAAAAGUUUAAAACAUGCCUACAUAAAACAGAUUGAUUGAAUUUAACAUACAACUUUAAGCUUUGUUUUGGACAGAAGCAUAAGUCACAAAUGACAGAGGCCUAAAACAUGUGCCAAAUAUUGGACAGUAUUACAACUGAAAUGAUCUGCAUUACCAUAUGUAUUUAUCUAAAUGUUAACAUAAGCAUAAAAAUUUUAAUAGUAUAAUGGUAAUGUAAUGAGAGAUGUGAGACUGAAUUGACUAUUUCUCUCUGACAUUUUGUACCUGAUAGUCACUGGAAUGUAAAAUUUUAGCAGACAGUUUCAUUAGGAGAUUUACUAAAAAAGCAACAAUAAUAAAAUUAAGCAACUAAAUAAUACCAUAGUAAAAAGAUAAUGUAGGAUUCGGGAUUAAACUCAGUGACUCAAGCACUUGCCUAGUAAGUGCAAGGUCAUGGGUUUGAUCUCCAGCACACACACAUUAAAAAUGUUCCUGGACCCUACCCAAGAACCCAUGCAUACACAUAAAAAGAUAAUGUAAGGCAACUCUUUUCAAGAAAAUUUGAGCUUAAAUUAUCAUAUGUCUAUGACACUAUCAGAAAAUCUAACUUUUAAUAAUUAUAAACCUGAAGACUUCUUUAUUAAAAAUUCACCUUUUGCAUAGAUAUUAAGUGGUUACAAUUGUAAUAUUCAGAAAAUAGAAAUAGAGGAAAUAGGUUGACAAAUAAUUUUCCCGUGGGGAAGUGAUCAUGAGAUGGAGGAAAAGAGGACAGAAGGGAGUCAAGAUGUGUUAUGCCCAUGUGCUCUCUGCUCAUGAAGAAUGUGAUCAUUAUGUACCACAAACAUGUGCUCAUAAAAAUAAAUAAAUUUAAAAAUAGAGAAGCUAGAAACUUGAUAUCCAGUAAUUCUUUUUCCUUAAACCUGUGAUGGCAAUUAGAAAAAUCAUUAUUCUUAGGCAUGUUAGAUCUUGAGUUACAAUGUUUUUAAGGAGAUAAUUAGAAUUGCUUGUCUGAGAUAAUGACAGUUCUUUAGUUUUGCUAUUUAAUUGUGUCAAAAUGCAAAGAGCCCAUUUA